GUGGGCCUGGAGAUGAUUGUUCACUGCAGGAGCAUUCACCUUUUUAGAUGGGUGCUUCCUGUCUAGAGAAGGAGACACGGGGAGCUGGAAAGAGAAGCCUGCAGAAAUAGGGACCGGGCAAAAACAAAGGAGGGUGGAGUCGGGGAGUGUAGAAGAGAUAAAGUAAGGACUGGAGUGAGGAAGAGGCAUCAAAAGAGGGAGGGAAUGGUGAAGGCAGAAAACCGUGAGAAACGGGGAGUGAGAAGAUAGCAUGAGAAAGACAGGAUCAAGUCAGGCGUGGUGGCUCACGCCGGUAAUCCCAGCACUUUGGGAGGCUGAGGCGGGCGGAUCAUUUGAGGUCAGGAGUUUGAGACCAGCCUAGCCAACAUUGUCUCUACUAAAAAUACAAAAAUUAGCCAGGUGUGGUGGUGUGUGUCUGUAAUCCCAGCUACUCAAGAGGCUGAGGCAGGAGAAUCGCUUGAACCCAUGGUGGGGUGGAGGUUGCAGUGAGCCGAGAUCGCACCACUGUACUCCAGCCUGGGUGACAGAGUGAGACUCUGUCUCAAAAACAAACAAACAAGCAAACAAAAAAACCAGGUAAACUGAGGCUGGGUUUUGUAUCCCAGACCAAAUGCCUGCACUUUGAAUGCCUGGUUGGGAAGCCUGAGAUUAUCCUGUAGGGAAGCAUCGAGAGCAUGAACUGAAUGGUGUUAGGAGACAAUUAUCCAUGGCUCUCUUACCUUUCUGCCUGUCUCCUGAAAAAGGUAUUAGCCACUUUUGAGUUCCAGAUUGUCUUUUUAUGGAUGUUUCUCUAGAGCAUCAGAGCAUGUUUGUUCACUGUCUUAGAUAAUAAAGAUAAUGUCCUUCCAUAAUGAUUUAUUUAUUGGCUAGGAUAGUAAAUACAACAUGUCCUUCCGGGGCAGGUGGAUCAGCAGUCCGACAUAACAAAGAUAAUAUCUCUCCGAGUUUCAAAGUCAAGCAGAUUUCCUUGCAUCUCCCUUAUAAGAUUGAAGAUUUGUAAAUACAUGUAAACAGAGGUUCCCCAGCAUUGACGCAAACCACUGUGUGCGCAGCAUCUGCCUGAGCCACUCUGAUCAUCCCUGUAGGACCUGGGGGGCAAGGUGAGCCCAUGUGAACAUGAAUCUCAUGCUGCCGGCUGUGCCAUGAGUAAUAAAGUCCUUUGUCUCUGACCCGGAGUUGUUGUGUGUUCUGCCAAUAGUUUCACUGGAUACAAAAUUCUUGGCUGAUAAUUGUUUUGUAUAAGGAGGCUAAAGACAGGACCACAAUCCCUUCUAGGUUGUAGGGUUUUUGCUGAGAAAUCUGCUGUCAAUCUAAUAGGUUUUCCUUUAUAGGUUACCUGAUGCUCCUUCAUCUUGACUUUAGAUAACCUGAUGACUAUGUGCCUAGGGGGGUCAUCUUUUUUUUGUUUUGUUUUGUUUUGAGAUGGAGUCUCACUCUGUUGCCCAGGCUGGAGUGCAGUGGUGCGAUUUCGGCUCACUGCAACGUCCGCCUCCCGGGUUCAAGAGACUCUUCCGCCUCAGCCUCCCGAGUAGCUGGGAUUACAGGUGCGUGCCACCACACCCGGCUACUUUUUUAUAUUUUUAGUAGAGAAGGGGUUUCACUGUGUUAGCCAGGAUGGCCUCGAUCUCCUGACCUUGUGAUUGGCCUGCCUAAGUCUCUUAAAGUUCUGGGAUUACAGGCGUGAACGACUACGCCCGACCAGUGGUCAUCUUUUUGCAAUGAAUUUCCCAGGCGUUCUUUGAGCUUCUCAUGUUUGGAUAUCUAGAUCUCUAGCAAGGCCAAGGAAGAUUAUUCCCCUCAAAUAUGUUUUCCAAACUUUUAGAUUUAUCUUCUUCCUUGGGAACAUGAAUUAUUCUUAGGUUGGUUGUUUAACAUAAUCCCAAACUUCUUGGAGGUCUUGUUCAUUUUUUAAAAAUACUUUUUUCUUUGUCUUUGUUGGAUUGGGUUAAUCCAAAAGUCUUGUCUUUGGGCUCUUAAGUUCUUUCUUCUACUUGUUUGAUUCUAUUGCUGAGACUUUCCAGUGUAUUUUGCAUUUCUCUAAGUGUGUCCUUCAUUUCCAGAAAUUGUAAUUGUUUUUGAUUUACGCUAUUUCUCUGGAGAUUUUUCUGUCCAUAUCCGGUAACACUUUUUAAAAUUUCUUUAAGUUGGUAUUCACCUUUCUCUGGUGCCUUCUUGAGUAGCUUAGUAAUUGAUCUUCUGAUUUUUUUUUUUUCUGGCAAUUUCAGAGAUUUCUUUUUGGUUUGGAUCCAUUGUUGGUGAGCUGGUGUGAUCUUUUUGGCGUGUUAAAUAACCUUGUUUUGUCGUAUUACCAGAAUUGGUUUUCUGGUUCCUUCUCCUUUGUAGACUAUGUCAGAAGGAAGAUCUGGGUCUCAAGGGCUGCUCAGAUUCUGGAUUUAGCUACCCAGUGGAGCGUCUGCGCUCUGGGCUGGUACUGGGGGGUGUCUGCAAAGAGUCCUGUGAUGUGAUUCAUCUUCAGGUCUCUUAGCUGUGGAUAUCAGCACCUGCUCCGUUGGAGGUAACAGAGGAGUAAAGUAGACUCGCUGGGGUUCCUUGGUUGUAUUAUUUUUUAGUGCGCUGGUUUUGUGUUGGUUGGCCUCCAGCCAGGAGACGGCACUUUCAAGACAGCAUCAGCUGCAGUAGUACAGGGAGGAAAACAGCUUGCCCUAGGGUUACCUGGAUAAGUAUUCAGGUUUCUCAGGUGGAGGAUGGGGCCAGAUAGCUUCCAAGAGAGUAUGUCCUUCGUCUUUGGCUACUAGGGCAGGUAGAGGAACACCAUCAGGUGGGGGCAGGGUUAGGGGUGUCUGAGUUCAGACUCUCCUUGGGUAAGGGUCGCUGUGGCUGCUGUGUGGGGGUGGGGUGUGGUUCUCAGGCCAAUGAGGUUAUGUUCCCAGGGGAAUUAUGGCUGCCUCUACUGCAUCAUGUGGGUCACCAGGGAAGUGGGAGAAAGCCAGCAGUUUCAGGGCUCACCCAGCUCCCAUGCAGCCCAAAAAGCUGGUCUCAUUCCCACUGUGUGCAUCCCCAAUCAAUGCACAGUUUGUUUGCAGGCAGCAGGUGCGCAGGGCUGGGAACUCGCCCCAGGCUACAAGCCUCCCUGCUGAGAAAGCAAGCAGGGCUUUCAGGUUUCGUGCCUCCCCACCUGCUGCAGCUUCUGUGCUCAUGUCUGCACUCACAGUUCACCCCCUCCCCUGAGUUCUGUCCAGGAAACUUCGUGUUCAGUUGAAAUUGUUGCAAAGUUCAGCUGGAAGCUUCCUUCUCCCUGUAGUCUUUCCCCAAUUCCGUUGGCAGCCCUCCCCAAGGACCCCUGUGAGAUGAAGUCAGAAAUGGCUUCCCUGGGGACCAACAGUACCCUCAGGGCUCUUCCUGCUGCUUUCUCUACCCCCCGUAUUUCAUUCAGCUCUCUAAGUUCAUCUCGGCUCCAGGACAGUAAGCAAGCCUGGAUCUGAGAGAGAUAUCAUCUUGCAAGGAUGCCUGCUUUACAAACAUCCUUGAAACAACAAUCCAGAAAAAAAAAGGUGUUGCUGUCUUUGCUCAGAAGACACACAGAUACGUGACAGAACCAUGGAGAAUUGCCUCCCAACACUGUUCAGCCAGAGCCUUCCACCCUUGUCUGCAGGACAGUCUCAACGUUCCACCAUUAAAUACUUCUUCUGUCACAUCCUGCUUAUUUAUGCCUAACCAAGGUUCUAGGUCCCGAUCGACUGUGUCUGGCAGCACUCCACUGCCAAACCCAGAAUAAGGCAGCGCUCAGGAUCCCGAAGGGGCAUGGCUGGGGAUCAGAACUUCUGGGUUUGAGUGAGGAGUGGGUCCACCCUCUUGAAUUUCAAAGGAGGAAGAGGCUGGAUGUGAAGGAACUGGGGGAGGGAAAGUGUCAGUUCCGAACUCUUAGGUCAAUGAGGGAGGAGACUGGUAAGGUCCCAGCUCCCGAGGUACUGAUGUGGGAAUGGCCUAAGAAUCUCAUAUCCUCAGGAAGAAGGUGCUGGAAUCCUGAGGGGUAGAGUUCUGGGUAUAUUUGUGGCUUAAGGCUCUUUGGCCCCUGAAGGGCAGAGGCUGGAACCAUUAGGUCCAGGGUUUGGGGUGAUAGUAAUGGGAUCUCUUGAUUCCUCAAGAGUCUGAGGAUCGAGGGUUGCCCAUUCUUCCAUCUUGCCACCUAAUCCUUACUCCACUUGAGGGUAUCACCAGCCCUUCUAGCUCCAUGAAGGUGCCCCUGGGCAAGCACAAUCUGAGCAUGAAAGAUGCCCCAGAGGCCUUGGGUGUCAUCCACUCAUCAUCCAGCAUCCACACUCUGAGGGUGUGGCCAGCACCAUGACGUCAUGUUGCUGUGACUAUCCCUGCAGCGUGCCUCUCCAGCCACCUGCCAACCGUAGAGCUGCCGACAUCCUCCUCUGGUGGGAGUGGCCUGCAUGGUGCCAGGCUGAGGCCUAGUGUCAGACAGGGAGCCUGGAAUCAUAGGGAUCCAGGACUCAAAAGUGCUAGAGAAUGGCCAUAUGUCACCAUCCAUGAAAUCUCAAGGGCUUCUGGGUGGAGGGCACAGGGACCUGAACUUAUGGGUUUUCCCCAAGUCUAUUGCUCUCCCAAGUGAGUCUCCCAGAUACGAGGCACUGUGCCAGCAUCAGCCUUAUCUCCACCACAUCUUGUAAAAGGGACUACCCAGGGCCCUGAUGAACACCAUGGUGUGUACAGGAGUAGGGGGUGGAGGCACGGACUCCUGUGAGGUCACAGCCAAGGGAGCAUCAUCAUGGGUGGGGAGGAGGCAAUGGACAGGCUUGAGAACGGGGAUGUGGUUGUAUUUGGUUUUCUUUGGUUAGAUAAAGUGCUGGGUAUAGGAUUGAGAGUGGAGUAUGAAGACCAGUUAGGAUGGAGGAUCAGAUUGGAGUUGGGUUAGAGAUGGGGUAAAAUUGUGCUUCGGAUGAGUUUGGGAUUGACACUGUGGAGGUGGUUUGGGAUGGCAUGGCUUUGGGAUGGAAAUAGAUUUGUUUUGAUGUUGGCUCAGACAUCCUUGGGGAUUGAACUGGGGAUGAAGCUGGGUUUGAUUUUGGAGGUAGAAGACGUGGAAGUAGCUGUCAGAUUUGACAGUGGCCAUGAGUUUUGUUUGAUGGGGAAUCAAACAAUGGGGGAAGACAUAAGGGUUGGCUUGUUAGGUUAAGUUGCGUUGGGUUGAUGGGGUCGGGGCUGUGUAUAAUGCAGUUGGAUUGGUUUGUAUUAAAUUGGGUUGGGUCAGGUUUUGGUUGAGGAUGAGUUGAGGAUAUGCUUGGGGACACCGGAUCCAUGAGGUUCUCACUGGAGUGGAGACAAACUUCCUUUCCAGGAUGAAUCCGGGGAAGCCUUAAUUCACGUGUAGGGGAGGUCAGGCCACUGGCUAAGUAUAUCCUUCCACUCCAGCUCUAAGAUGGUCUUAAAUUGUGAUUAUCUAUAUCCACCUCUGUCUCCCUCACUGUGCUUGGAGUUUACCUGAUCACUCAACUAGAAACAGGGG
rnacentral:lncRNA from 10 species